rnacentral:rRNA from 1 species
UACGUAGGGGGCUAGCGUUGUCCGGAAUCAUUGGGCGUAAAGAGCGUGUAGGCGGCUCGGUAAGUCCGCUGUAAAAGUCAAAGGCUCAACCUUUGAAUGUCAGUGGAUACUGCCGGGCUAGAGUCCGGAAGAGGCGAGUGGAACUCCUGGUGUAGCGGUGGAAUGCGCAGAUAUCAGGAGGAACACCGGUGGCGAAGGCGGGAUCCUGGGCCAGUACUGACGCUGAGGAGCGAAAGCGUGGGGAGCAAACAGG